rnacentral:rRNA from 1 species
CGGCAGCACGGGAGCUUGCUCCUGGUGGCGAGUGGCGAACGGGUGAGUAAUGUAUCGGAACGUACCCCGUCGUGGGGGAUAACUCUCCGAAAGGAGAGCUAAUACCGCAUACGACCCGAGGGUGAAAGCGGGGGACCUGGGGUAACCUGGGCCUCGCGCGAUGGGAGCGGCCGAUAUCGGAUUAGCUAGUUGGUGGGGUAAAGGCCUACCAAGGCGACGAUCCGUAGCGGGUCUGAGAGGACGACCCGCCAUACUGGAACUGAGACACGGUCCAGACUCCUACGGGAGGCAGCAGUGGGGAAUUUUGGACAAUGGGCGCAAGCCUGAUCCAGCCAUUCCGCGUGAGUGAAGAAGGCCUUCGGGUUGUAAAGCUCUUUCAGCAGGAACGAAACGGUGGGUCUUAAUACGGCCUGCUAAUGACGGUACCUGCAGAAGAAGCACCGGCUAACUACGUGCCAGCAGCCGCGGUAAUACGUAGGGUGCGAGCGUUAAUCGGAAUUACUGGGCGUAAAGCGUGCGCAGGCGGCGACAUAAGACAGAUGUGAAAUCCCCGGGCUCAACCUGGGAACGGCGUUUGUGACUGUGUGGCUAGAGUGUAGCAGAGGGGGGUGGAAUUCCACGUGUAGCAGUGAAAUGCGUAGAGAUGUGGAGGAACACCGAUGGCGAAGGCAGCCCCCUGGGUUAACACUGACGCUCAUGCACGAAAGCGUG